rnacentral:rRNA from 1 species
GUGGGGAAUAUUGCGCAAUGGGGGAAACCCUGACGCAGCGACGCCGCGUGAGCGAAGAAGGCCUUAGGGUUGUAAAGCUCUGUUUUAAGGGACGAAUGUCGUGGGGAGUAAUAUGCUCUGCGAAUGACGGUACCUUAAGAGGAAGCCCCGGCUAACUACGUGCCAGCAGCCGCGGUAAGACGUAGGGGGCGAGCGUUGUCCGGAAUUACUGGGCGUAAAGAGCACGUAGGCGGGAACUUAAGUCAGGUGUGAAAGACCGGGGCUCAACUCCGGGGUUGCACUUGAAACUGGGUUUCUUGAGGGCAGGAGAGGAAAGCAGAAUUCCUGGUGUAGCGGUGAAAUGCGUAGAUAUUAGGAGGAACACCAGUGGCGAAGGCGGCUUACUGGACUGUAACUGACGUUGAGGCUCGAAAGCGUGGGGAGCAAACAGGAUUAGAAACCCGAGUAGUCC